rnacentral:rRNA from 1 species
GAUGAACGCUGGCGGCGUGCCUAAUACAUGCAAGUCGAGCGAACGGACGAGAAGCUUGCUUCUCUGAUGUUAGCGGCGGACGGGUGAGUAACACGUGGAUAACCUACCUAUAAGACUGGGAUAACUUCGGGAAACCGGAGCUAAUACCGGAUAAUAUUUUGAACCGCAUGGUUCAAAAGUGAAAGACGGUCUUGCUGUCACUUAUAGAUGGAUCCGCGCUGCAUUAGCUAGUUGGUAAGGUAACGGCUUACCAAGGCAACGAUGCAUAGCCGACCUGAGAGGGUGAUCAGCCACACUGGAACUGAGACACGGUCCAGACUCCUACGGGAGGCAGCAGUAGGGAAUCUUCCGCAAUGGGCGAAAGCCUGACGGAGCAACGCCGCGUGAGUGAUGAAGGUCUACGGAUCGUAAAACUCUGUUAUUAGGGAAGAACAUAUGUGUAAGUAACUGUGCACAUCUUGACGGUACCUAAUCAGAAAGCCACGGCUAACUACGUG